rnacentral:rRNA from 1 species
CCUACGGGCGGCAGCAGUGAGGAAUAUUGGUCAAUGGGCGAGAGCCUGAACCAGCCAAGUCGCGUGAAGGAUGACGGCCCUACGGGUUGUAAACUUCUUUUGCCAGGGAGCAACUGGGUCCACGCGUGGGCCCAGUGAGAGUACCCGAAGAAAAAGCAUCGGCUAACUCCGUGCCAGCAGCCGCGGUAAUACGGAGGAUGCGAGCGUUAUCCGGAUUUAUUGGGUUUAAAGGGUGCGUAGGCGGAAUAUCAAGUCAGCGGUAAAAAUUCGGGGCUCAACCCCGUCGUGCCGUUGAAACUGAUGUUCUUGAGUGGACGAGAAGUAUGCGGAAUGCGUGGUGUAGCGGUGAAAUGCAUAGAUAUCACGCAGAACUCCGAUUGCGAAGGCAGCAUGCCGGCGCCCGACUGACGCUGAAGCACGAAAGCGUGGGUAUCGAACAGGAUUAGAUACCCCAGUAGUC